GGACCCGACUGCUAUCAAAGUGGGACUAACCCAUGCGAGUCAACAUAGCAAUAUGUGGCAUACGGCUCAUUAACACGUAGUCAACAUGCCCAGGGGACGUGAAUAACCUCGGGAAACUGAGGAUAAACCGCGAUAAGUCACUACUUCUGGAAUGGGUAAUGACUCAAAUCUACAUGGCCCCUGAAUUGGACUGCGGCCAAUCAGGCUGUUGGUGAGGUAAUGGCCCACCAAACCUGUAACCGGUACGGGCUCUGAGAGGAGGAGCCCGGAGAUGGGCACUGAGACAAGGGCCCAGGCCCUAUGGGGCGCACCAGGCGCGAAACCUCUGCAAUAGGCGAAAGCCUGACAGGGUUACUCUGAGUGAUUUCCGUUAAGGAGAUCUUUUGGCACCUCUAAAAAUGGUGCAAAAUAAGGGGUGGGCAAGUCUGGUGU
rnacentral:rRNA from 1 species